rnacentral:sRNA from 1 species
UUCUACCAGACGCAGUGCGUGAGCGAUGGCAGCGGCUAUCCUUUUUGUUUUUUGGGAACUAUGUUCCUGAAAAACAAAAAGAUAAUAGCGGACAGCGCGGCCCGCU